AUUGAACGCUGGCGGCAGGCCUAACACAUGCAAGUCGAGCGGAUGAAGGGAGCUUGCUCCUGGAUUCAGCGGCGGACGGGUGAGUAAUGCCUAGGAAUCUGCCUGGUAGUGGGGGAUAACGUCCGGAAAGGGGCGCUAAUACCGCAUACGUCCUGAGGGAGAAAGUGGGGGAUCUUUGGACCUCACGCUAUCAGAUGAGCCUAGGUCGGAUUAGCUAGUUGGUGGGGUAAAGGCCUACCAAGGCGACGUUCCGUAACUGGUCUGAGAGGAUGAUCAGUCACACUGGAACUGAGACACGGUCCAGACUCCUACGGGAGGCAGCAGUGGGGAAUAUUGGACAAUGGGCGAAAGCCUGAUCCAGCCAUGCCGCGUGUGUGAAGAAGGUCUUCGGAUUGUAAAGCACUUUAAGUUGGGAGGAAGGGCAGUAAGUUAAUACCUUGCUGUUUUGACGUUACCAACAGAAUAAGCACCGGCUAACUUCGUG
rnacentral:rRNA from 1 species